rnacentral:rRNA from 1 species
AACGCUAGCUACAGGCUUAACACAUGCAAGUCGAGGGGAAGCGACAUCGAAAGCUUGCUUUUGAUGGGCGUCGACCGGCGCACGGGUGAGUAACGCGUAUCCAACCUGCCCGCCACUUGGGAAUAACCUUGCGAAAGUAAGACUAAUACCCAAUGAUAUCCAUAGAAGACAUCUGAAAUGGAUUAAAGAUUUAUCGGUGAUGGAUGGGGAUGCGUCUGAUUAGCUUGUUGGCGGGGUAACGGCCCACCAAGGCAACGAUCAGUAGGGGUUCUGAGAGGAAGGUCCCCCACAUUGGAACUGAGACACGGUCCAAACUCCUACGGGAGGCAGCAGUGAGGAAUAUUGGUCAAUGGGCGGAAGCCUGAACCAGCCAAGUAGCGUGAGGGAUGACUGCCCUAUGGGUUGUAAACCUCUUUUAUAAGGGAAUAAAAUACGGGACGUGUCCUGUUUUGCAUGUACCUUAUGAAUAAGGACCGGCUAAUUCCGUGCCAGCAGCCGCGGUAAUACGGAAGGUCCGGGCGUUAUCCGGAUUUAUUGGGUUUAAAGGGAGCGCAGGCGGUCUUAUAAGCGUGACGUGAAAUGCAGCGGCUCAACCGUAUGAUGUGCGUCGCGAACUGUGAGACUUGAGUGUAUUCGAUGUCAGCGGAAUUUGUGGUGUAGCGGUGAAAUGCUUAGAUAUCACGAAGAACUCCGAUUG